CCUACGGGAGGCAGCAGUGGGGAAUAUUGGACAAUGGGCGAAAGCCUGAUCCAGCAAUGCCGCGUGAGUGAUGAAGGCCUUAGGGUUGUAAAGCUCUUUUACCAGGGAUGAUAAUGACAGUACCUGGAGAAUAAGCUCCGGCUAACUCCGUGCCAGCAGCCGCGGUAAUACGGAGGGAGCUAGCGUUGUUCGGAAUUACUGGGCGUAAAGCGUACGUAGGCGGUUAUUCAAGUCAGAGGUGAAAGCCUGGAGCUCAACUCCAGAACUGCCUUUGAAACUAGAUAGCUAGAAUCUUGGAGAGGUGAGUGGAAUUCCGAGUGUAGAGGUGAAAUUCGUAGAUAUUCGGAAGAACACCAGUGGCGAAGGCGACUCACUGGACAAGUAUUGACGCUGAGGUACGAAAGCGUGGGGAGCAAACAGGAUUAGAUACCCUGGUAGUCCACGCCGUAAACGAUGAUAACUAGCUGUUCGGGCUCUACGAGCUUGAGUGGCGCAGCUAACGCAUUAAGUUAUCCGCCUGGGGAGUACGGUGCAAGNUUAAAACUUAAGGAAUUGACGG
rnacentral:rRNA from 1 species